CCGCGUGAAGGAAGAAGGCGCUAUGCGUUGUAACUUCUUUUCCAGGGGAAUAAAAUUUUGUACGAGUACGAAAUUGAAGGUACCCUGGGAAUAAGCAUCGGCUAACUCCGUGCCAGCAGCCGCGGUAAUACGGAGGAUGCGAGCGUUAUCCGGAUUUAUUGGGUUUAAAGGGUGCGUAGGCGGAUUAAUAAGUCAGUGGUGAAAACCUGCAGCUUAACUGUGGAACUGCCAUUGAUACUGUUAGUCUUGAGUAUGGUCAAGGUAGGCGGAAUGUGUAAUGUAGCGGUGAAAUGCUUAGAUAUUACACAGAACACCGAUUGCGAAGGCAGCUUACUGGGACCAAAACUGACGCUGAUGCACGAAAGCGUGGGGGAUCGAACAGGAUUAGAUCCCUGGUAGUCCACGCCGUAAACGAUGAUCCUCCUGUUAGCGAUCACAGUUACGGCUAACCAAACAUAAGUGAUCACCUGGGGAGUACG
rnacentral:rRNA from 1 species